CAAGAUAGAUGCUUAGAAUUGAAUUGAAAGUCAAUAUUACAUGUAUAGGUAGGCUGUAAAAAGUGCAAAUAGAGAUAUAGGUAAUCAGAUGAAUAUUAGCUAUGGAUGAGUGGGCAUAAAAAACAAUAUGUUCAUUGGAAGUAUUGAGCCCAUGAAAAGGUGAUCUGUAAGUAUAAGAUGGAACACUGGACAAAAUACUGACACUUAGUGAAGAAGUCAGCACAAGCAGACCAUGAAAAAUGAGUUUUAAAAAUGCAAGCUACACAUUUUUCCACUGGGGAAAGAGCCUAUUGUAACAAGCUGACAACCAUUUCCCAUAUGGGGAAAAGGCCACGAUUUUAGUUCAUUGUCUGCUACCUUAAGUACUAAUACGAUGAGCCAUAAUGUAUAGCCAACACCUCAGCAGAGGGUUUCCCUCUCUGGUCAGACAAAUCAUGAUUAGAAGAAUUUCCAUGAAAGGAUUCUAUAACAAAUAACAGACAAAUAGGAGCUAUAACACUCUGGUGAUAUCUCUUUUAAGAAAAUGCUAUUACUCAGACCAAACAUAAUCAUAAGGCAGUUCUUAGCCUCUACAUAGGUCUUUAAGAUGCAAGAAAUGGUACAAAAUAAGUACGAUAUGCCACAACAUUAAAGAACACCAAUUCAGUCCCAGGGAAAGCCAACUAGUCCAGCUGACAGGACAGCUACAGGAUCAAGUCUAAGAUGUAAUGGUUACCUGUCACAGCUUGGGACAAUGCCAUCAAUGAAAGGCUCAUACAACUAGGGACAAGGACAUCACAUGUAGGUAACAACACUUCAGCACCAGAGACAAGGCCAUCACAUAUAGGUAACAACACUUCAGCACCAGGGACAAGGACAUCAUGUGCAGGUAACAACACUUCAGCACCAGGGAAAUAACAUAACAUGCAGGUAACAACACUUCAGCACCAGGGACAAGGACAUCACAUGUAGGUAACAACACUUCAGCACCAGAGACAAGGCCAUCACAUAUAGGUAACAACACUUCAGCACCAGGGAUAAGGACAUCACAUGCAGGUAACAACACUUCAGCGCCAGUGAAAUAACAUAACAUGCAGGUAACAACACUUCACUGCCAGGGAAAUAACAUAACAUGCAGGUAACAACACUUCAGCACCUGGGACAAGGACAUCACAUAUAGGUAACAACACUUCAGCACCAGGGACAAGGCCAUCACAUGCAGGUAACAACACCCCAGCACCAGGGACAAGAACAUCAUAUGCAGAUAACAACACUUCAGCACCAGGGACAAAGCCAGGGUGUCCUGAUAUUCCUCAGCAGGCAUGAUAAGUUACCAAUGUUUAAAAUGUCUGUGUCUACCAUAUCCAGUUUCCACAAUUUCAACACUGGGCCAUGACCAGCGAAAUAACAAACACCUGACAUUUCAUUUCAAGACAAGGAGAAUCUAUGAACAGCAGGGUCUAUCCCCAGUCAAAAGCUAAGCUGCAGGGAAAUACACAGAUGUCUCACCAUAGAUGGCUACAUCUUGCCUAAGUCAUUAUCAUCAUGGGCUAUAACACAGUAAGAAAGUCUGUUCCUGGUAGAUAGUAAAAAAAAUCAACAAUGUACAAAACUUGGGGAAUACUGGGGUUACACAUCUGUGACAUCAGGGACCUGUCCUGUGGCAUGUCCACUUAUCAGUUAUCACCAUCCUUAGGAUAACACAUACAGCCAUUUGUUAAGAGCAUCAAAGGGCCAGGUUACAACUACAGUCUUUCAACAAUGACACAUCAGAUGAUGAUGAUAAUGACACAUCAGCCAAUACUGUCUUAAGUCCUUUUUCUGGAAAUAUCUGACCCAAGUUGCACAAAACAAUCUAAUAGCUUUUGAAACGUGUCACAAGUAGGUCAAGAGAUGGUAGGAAAGACAUGCUUUAACUGCAUUUUGCAGACAAUUGUAGAUCAAAUAUCUGACUUCUCAUUUACUUUCUUCCACUAUCAUUCUUAAGUACUCAUUUGAGAGUGACGAUUCUCCGAUAACAUUUUCCUGCCUUGUCUAGCAUUGCAAAACAACAUACACUUUCAAUCAGGUAAAAGUCAAAUAAGGAGGUACUAAAAUAGGUAUUACAUGCUGUAACACGUCUGUUGCAAAGGUAGAAUACAACUAACGUCAUCAAUGACCAAGAUACUCAUGCAAAAAUUAUUCAGCAGGUAAAGGUUAACAAAAACAAGAAAGUCCAGAAAGUUGUUUGCUACUGAGGAGCAACAGUUUCCCCUGUCUAACGGUAAACUAAAGAUUCAUGAGUCCAGGGAGAGCUCUAAAACCCAGCAGCUUCAGCCAUCAAUCCUCCUGAUAGCCUAUCUAUGAGUCACUGCCAUGCUCAACUACAAUGGGAAUUUGUGAACAACUUGGUGAAUAAGAUUUCUGAAAGCCCUCACAAGGAUCAGGCUUAUCUUACAGAUCCAAUGGCUUACACACAGGGGGGCGGUUGCCUUAAAGCAUAUGCCUUCCGUUCAGAAUUCUGAUAAGGAAUUUUGGAUGUAGAGGUGAAUGGUGGGCACCCAUGCUUUUAUGUUCCCAGAGCACCACCACUACCAUCUUGAUUGUCAGGCCUCAUAUGGACCAAAUCAAAUUCCGUGAGGGAGCAUGCUUAAUGCAGCACAUCAAUGACCACAAGCGGUCCCAGAAACACUCCUUAUCAUGUCCAACAUGAGCAGGAAUGGGACGCAGCAUGUCUUAUCAGUUGGCCCUUGACCCUACCCCAGCUGCCACAUUUCUAUUAGUCCCACUACAAUUCCCCGAGGAUGUGUAAGGGGGAUUUGUCUUAGACAAUUCUAGGCUUCUGUUCCUCUGUUCAAUUUCCUAUUUUGUAAAUUUAGCCAAGCAGUAGCCCCAGCUGCUUUUCUUGUAUUAUGGACAUGUACAUUCAAGAUGUUUACCCAUGCUAAGGAUUUUUCCGCUACUUUUUUUCUGAGGAAUUCUCCUUAGUCAAUGUGGUACUAUAUAUCUUAUGGUGAAACCUUUCCAUGGAAUAUUUCAGGAUAGAAGUUACAUGUCUUUGAUAUGUUGUUCUACCAAAAGGAUGGCAAGAAC